rnacentral:rRNA from 1 species
GAACGGUAGCACAGAGAGCUUGCUCUCGGGUGACGAGUGGCGGACGGGUGAGUAAUGUCUGGGAAACUGCCUGAUGGAGGGGGAUAACUACUGGAAACGGUAGCUAAUACCGCAUAACGUCGCAAGACCAAAGAGGGGGACCUUCGGGCCUCUUGCCAUCAGAUGUGCCCAGAUGGGAUUAGCUAGUAGGUGGGGUAACGGCUCACCUAGGCGACGAUCCCUAGCUGGUCUGAGAGGAUGACCAGCCACACUGGAACUGAGACACGGUCCAGACUCCUACGGGAGGCAGCAGUGGGGAAUAUUGCACAAUGGGCGCAAGCCUGAUGCAGCCAUGCCGCGUGUAUGAAGAAGGCCUUCGGGUUGUAAAGUACUUUCAGCGGGGAGGAAGGUGUUGUGGUUAAUAACCGCAGCAAUUGACGUUACCCGCAGAAGAAGCACCGGCUAACUCCGUGCCAGCAGCCGCGGUAAUACGGAGGGUGCAAGCGUUAAUCGGAAUUACUGGGCGUAAAGCGCACGCAGGCGGUCUGUCAAGUCGGAUGUGAAAUCCCCGGGCUCAACCUGGGAACUGCAUUCGAAACUGGCAGGCUAGAGUCUUGUAGAGGGGGGUAGAAUUCCAGGGUGUAGCGGUGAAAUGCGUAGAGAUCUGGAGGAAUACCGGUGGCGGAAGGCGGCCCCCUGGACAACACUGACGCUC